GUCAUAUAAAGAUGUAUUAGAUGCAAGACAAUCUAGCAUUUCCCUUUAUGGCAUUGUAUUAAAUUUAGAAGUUCAAACAAAAGUAAUUGUUGUGUGGUUAAUAAUCGAAACAGUUUGAGUUUGGAUGGAAGAGGUUAACUGUAUGACCUUGUGUUGAGAAACACUAGAAACAAUCUUAAAUAACAAUUUCUUAAUUUUCAUUAUUUUGAGUUACAGUAUC
rnacentral:sRNA from 12 species